UGGGCCUCUCCCAAACUUUUACAGCCUCUUGAAUUGCUCACUCCUUCCUGCAGGCAGAGGACAUGCUCUGGACUAAGCAGGAAACUGAUACGGCCCACCUGUAUCCUGCUUUUCACAUCGUUCAGGGAUGGCAAAGGAGUUUUGCAGGAAUUCUGGGAACACUGGCCAGAUGGGAAAAUACACUUACUGGAGAUUCCUGA
rnacentral:lncRNA from 1 species